AUACGUAGGGUGCAAGCGUUAAUCGGAAUUACUGGGCGUAAAGCGUGCGCAGGCGGUUUUGUAAGACAGAGGUGAAAUCCCCGGGCUCAACCUGGGAACUGCCUUUGUGACUGCAAGGCUUGAGUACGGCAGAGGGGGAUGGAAUUCCGCGUGUAGCAGGGAAAUGCGUAGAUAUGCGGAGGAACACCGAUGGCGAAGGCAAUCCCCUGGGCCUGUACUGACGCUCAUGCACGAAAGCGUGGGGAGCAAACAGGAUUAGAUACCCUGGUAGUCCACGCCCUAAACGAUGUCAACUGGUUGUUGGGGAUUUAUUUUCUCAGUAACGAAGCUAACGCGUGAAGUUGACCGCCUGGGGAGUACGGCCGCAAGGUUAAAACUUAAAGGAAUUGACGGGG
rnacentral:rRNA from 1 species